rnacentral:rRNA from 1 species
UACGUAGGGACCGAGCGUUGUCCGGAUUCAUUGGGCGUAAAGAGCUCGUAGGCGGCUGCUCAAGUCGAAUGUGAAAACUCGAGGCUCAACCUCGAGCCUGCAUUCGAUACUGGGCGGCUAGAGUCUGGUAGGGGGAUCUGGAAUUCCUGGUGUAGCGGUGAGAUGCGCAGAUAUCAGGAGGAACACCGGUGGCGAAGGCGGGUCUCUGGGCCGUAACUGACGCUGAGGAGCGAAAGCGUGGGGAGCGAACAGG